rnacentral:tRNA from 1 species
UCCUUGGUAGUUCAGCUGGUUAAAAGUCUGUUUGCAAUUCAGGGGACCCUGGUUCAAAUCCUGGCUUGGGAA